rnacentral:lncRNA from 1 species
AUCAUAUAUCCAUGGCGUGUGCAGACUUGGGAGAGAGCAGACCCGAGGGAGGGCUGCGACACUGCAGCUGCAGGUGAGAUUGGGCGAGUCGGAUCACUCGUCGCGCAUGCAUGAAACUUCACCAUGGCCGCUCCACCGCACAUGGACGGCUGCGGCGGCGGCAACGACGACGUAAUGUAUCCAAAGACACACACCCUGCAUGUACAAAACAGAUCGGAUGGCAUUGAUUCAUUGAAGUGCACCUAAAUACAAUCGGAUGGCAUCCCCAAUGUUUACCAGAAUUUGGAACUAAAUUCACACUAACCGUGAACAGAAGAAAAAUCCCCAAAUCUGAAUUUUGGACCUAUUUACAUGUGGCACAUAUGGGAAUAGAAGGCAUCCUCAUGUUCGAUUGAACCUAUAAACAUUAGAAGAGAAAGAGUUGCCAACCUGUACAAGGAGAUACAACCCUGUCGUCCCACAUACUAGAUCUGUGGUGGACUGGUGGUUCCUGGCAUAACCUGAAAGAAGGAAUAAGAAGCAGAUCAACCGGAGUUAAUGAAGCUGUAUGAGAAUUGUUGCCGUGAGGAAUUUAUGUAUGGAGUAUAUGGUAGUGAGGCAAAUCGAUCAGGUACCUCGCAUGUGAUUGGUGGACUUCAAAAGCAGCUACUUGCGGUUAGAGACUUGGAGCAGGAUUCAAUAUCAACGGAAAAAGAACAAGGCUCCACUAAAGUGAGUGCACCGUGCCGAAAAACAACCUGGUCACUGGUCAGUCACGUCAGCGCCAUUGGCCGGUGAGAAGAUGGGCGUCCCGGCCGAGCUACUCUUGGCCGCCGCCGCAUAUUCAUGUGAGCCGCCGCCGCAGCUGGACGCCAAUGAAACAGGAGGAGAGAUGGAUAAGCGG